rnacentral:lncRNA from 1 species
GAAAAACAAAAAAAGAAAGAGGGAAAAGUCAUGUCAGCAGGAGGGAAAGAGAGAAGACCAGUGAGAGGACGUGAGGUAAAAAAAGAAGAAGAAAUGAUGAAGAUGAACUGUUCAUCUUCUUCGUGAAAGUCCCCACCAGUGUCUGCUGCUGUACGCCUCUUCCUCGCCGACCACCGCGCCAUCACCAACGCCCGGCGUCUGCAACUCGGCCGACGCCAGAGCAACACGUUGCUGCUGCGCCUCAGCUUCUACAGCCUGUGCCUCUACAGCCACGAGCAGAUCGCCUUCGCUCAGCAACACCGAC